CCCUUAGAUGUUCUGGGCCGCACGCGCGCUACACUGAUGCAUUCAACGAGUCUAAAACCUGCUCUGAUAGGGGUGGGUAAUCUUUUGAAUGUGCAUCGUGAUUGGGAUAGAUGAUUGCAAUUUUUCAUCUUCAACGAGGAAUGCCUAGUAAACGCAAGUCAUCAGCUUGCAUUGAUUACGUCCCUGCCCUUUGUACACACCGCCCGUCGCUCCUACCGAUUGAAUGAUCCGAUGAAUAUCAUGGAUUGAGGAUUAUAGCAGGUUCGCCUGUCUUGAUCUUCGAGAAGUGAAGUAAAUCUUAUCAUUUAGAGGAAGGUGAAGUCGUAACA
rnacentral:rRNA from 1 species